GGGUUGUGAGGUUAAGCGACUAAGCGUACACGGUGGAUGCCCUGGCAGUCAGAGGCGAUGAAGGACGUGCUAAUCUGCGAAAAGCGCCGGCGAGGUGAUAUGAACCUUUGACCCGGCGAUGUCCGAAUGGGGAAACCCAGUGUGUUCCGACACACUAUCGUUAACUGAAUACAUAGGUUAACGAGGCGAACCGGGGGAACUGAAACAUCUAAGUACCCCGAGGAAAAGAAAUCAACCGAGAUUCCCCCAGUAGCGGCGAGCGAACGGGGAGCAGCCCAGAGUCUGAAUCAGCUUGUGUGUUAGUGGAAGCGUCUGGAAAGUCGCACGGUACAGGGUGACAGUCCCGUACACGAAAAUGCACAGGUUGUGAACUCGAAGAGUAGGGCGGGACACGUGGUAUCCUGUCUGAAUAUGGGGGGACCAUCCUCCAAGGCUAAAUACUCCUGACUGACCGAUAGUGAACCAGUACCGUGAGGGGAAGGCGAAAAGAACCCCGGCGAGGGGAGUGAAAAAGAACCUGAAACCGUGUACGUACAAGCAGUGGGAGCACCUUCGUGGUGUGACUGCGUACCUUUUGUAUAAUGGGUCAGCGACUUAUAUUCUGUAGCAAGGUUAACCGUAUAGGGGAGCCGAAGGGAAACCGAGUCUUAACUGGGCGUUAAGUUGCAGGGUAUAGACCCGAAACCCGGUGAUCUAGCCAUGGGCAGGUUGAAGGUUGGGUAACACUAACUGGAAGGACCGAACCGACUAAUGUUGAAAAAUUAGCGGAUGACUUGUGGCUGGGGGUGAAAGGCCAAUCAAACCGGGAGAUAGCUGGUUCUCCCCGAAAGCUAUUUAGGUAGCGCCUCGUGAACUCAUCUUCGGGGGUAGAGCACUGUUUCGGCUAGGGGGCCAUCCCGGCUUACCAACCCGAUGCAAACUACGAAUACCGAAGAAUGUUAUCACGGGAGACACACGGCGGGUGCUAACGUCCGUCGUGAAGAGGGAAACAACCCAGACCGCCAGCUAAGGUCCCAAAGUCAUGGUUAAGUGGGAAACGAUGUGGGAAGGCACAGACAGCCAGGAUGUUGGCUUAGAAGCAGCCAUCAUUUAAAGAAAGCGUAAUAGCUCACUGGUCGAGUCGGCCUGCGCGGAAGAUGUAACGGGGCUAAACCAUGCACCGAAGCUGCGGCAGCGACGCUUAUGCGUUGUUGGGUAGGGGAGCGUUCUGUAAGCCGUUGAAGGUGUGCUGUGAGGCAUGCUGGAGGUAUCAGAAGUGCGAAUGCUGACAUAAGUAACGAUAAAGCGGGUGAAAAGCCCGCUCGCCGGAAGACCAAGGGUUCCUGUCCAACGUUAAUCGGGGCAGGGUGAGUCGACCCCUAAGGCGAGGCCGAAAGGCGUAGUCGAUGGGAAACAGGUUAAUAUUCCUGUACUUGGUGUUACUGCGAAGGGGGGACGGAGAAGGCUAUGUUAGCCGGGCGACGGUUGUCCCGGUUUAAGCAUGUAGGCGGA
rnacentral:rRNA from 1 species